rnacentral:rRNA from 1 species
CUACGGGCGGCAGCAGUGGGGAAUAUUGGACAAUGGGGGAAACCCUGAUCCAGCAAUGCCGCGUGUGUGAAGAAGGCCUGCGGGUUGUAAAGCACUUUCGGUUGGGAGGACUGCUUCUAGCACUAAUAUUGUUGGAAGUUGACGUUACCUUCAGAAGAAGCACCGGCUAACUCCGUGCCAGCAGCCGCGGUAAUACGGAGGGUGCAAGCGUUAAUCGGAAGUACUGGGCGUAAAGCGCGCGUAGGCGGCUAGAUCAGUCGGGUGUGAAAGCCCCGGGCUUAACCUGGGAACUGCAUCCGAUACUGUCUAGCUUGAGUACAGGAGAGGAGAGUGGAAUUCCACAUGUAGCGGUGAAAUGCGUAGAUAUGUGGAGGAACACCAAUGGCGAAGGCAGCUCUCUGGCCUGAUACUGACGCUGAGGUGCGAAAGCGUGGGGAGCAAACUGGAUUAGAUACCCGCGUAGUC